UACGUAGGGUGCGAGCGUUAAUCGGAAUACUGGGCGUAAAGCGUGCGCAGGCGGUUUUGUAAGCCAGAUGUGAAAUCCCCGGGCUUAACCUGGGAAUGGCAUUUGGGACUGCAAGGCUGGAGUGCGGCAGAGGAGACUGGAAUUCCUGGUGUAGCAGUGAAAUGCGUAGAUAUCAGGAGGAAUACCGAUGGCGAAGGCAGGUCUCUGGGCUGGCACUGACGCUCAUGCACGAAAGCGUGGGGA
rnacentral:rRNA from 1 species